rnacentral:tRNA from 1 species
UGUGGCUCAGUUGGUUGAGUACUUGUCUGGCAGGCAGGGGGCCCUGGGUUCAAUCCCCAGCA